AUAUCAUAAGCGGAGGAAAAGAAACCAACAGGGAUUGCCCUAGUAACGGCGAGUGAAGCGGCAACAGCUCAAAUUUGAAAUCUGGCGCAAGCCCGAGUUGUAAUUUGUAGAGGAUGCUUCUAGGUAGCGGUCGGUCUAAGUUCCUUGGAACAGGACGUCAUAGAGGGUGAGAAUCCCGUAUGUGAUUGACUUGCACCUUCUACGUAGCUCCUUCGACGAGUCGAGUUGUUUGGGAAUGCAGCUCUAAAUGGGAGGUAAAUUUCUUCUAAAGCUAAAUACCGGCCAGAGACCGAUAGCGCACAAGUAGAGUGAUCGAAAGAUGAAAAGCACUUUGGAAAGAGAGUUAAAAAGCACGUGAAAUUGUUGAAAGGGAAGCGCCUACAACCAGACUUUGCGGCAGUGUUCCGCCGGUCUUCUGACCGGUCUACUCUCUGUCGUGAGGCCAUCAUCGUCUGGGCCCGCCGGAUAAGACCUAAGGAAUGUAGCUGCCCUCGGGUAGUGUUAUAGCCUUUGGUGAUGCGGCGAGGCUCGGGCGAGGUCCGCGCUUCGGCAAGGAUGAUGGCGUAAUGGUUGUCGGCGGCCCGUCUUGAAACACGGACCAAGGAGUCUAACAUCUAUGCGAGUGUUCGGGUGUCAAACCCCUACGCGUAAUGAAAGUGAACGGAGGUGGGAACUUUUUGUGCACCAUCGACCGAUCCUGAUGUCCUCGGAUGGAUUUGAGUAAGAGCAUAGCUGUUGGGACCCGAAAGAUGGUGAACUAUGCCUGAAUAGGGUGAAGCCAGAGGAAACUCUGGUGGAGGCUCGCAGCGGUUCUGACGUGCAAAUCGAUCGUCAAAUUUGGGUAUAGGGGCGAAAG
rnacentral:rRNA from 1 species